rnacentral:rRNA from 1 species
GAUGAACGCUGGCGGCGUGCCUAAUACAUGCAAGUCGAGCGAACGGACGAGAAGCUUGCUUCUCUGAUGUUAGCGGCGGACGGGUGAGUAACACGUGGAUAACCUACCUAUAAGACUGGGAUAACUUCGGGAAACCGGAGCUAAUACCGGAUAAUAUUUUGAACCGCAUGGUUCAAAAGUGAAAGACGGUCUUGCUGUCACUUAUAGAUGGAUCCGCGCUGCAUUAGCUAGUUGGUAAGGUAACGGCUUACCAAGGCAACGAUGCAUAGCCGACCUGAGAGGGGGAUCGCCCACAUUGGAACUGAGACACGGUCCAGACUCCUACGGGAGGCAGCAGUAGGGAACGUUACGCAAUGGGGGAAAGCCUGACGGAGCAACGCCGAGUGAGUGAUGAAGGUCUUCGGAUCGUAAAACUCUGUUAUUAGGGAAGAACAUAUGUGUAAGUAACUGUGCACAUCUUGACGGUACCUAAUCAGAAAGCCACGGCUAACUACGUG